rnacentral:rRNA from 1 species
CCCCUAGAUGUUCUGGGCCGCACGCGCGCUACACUGAACAGUUCAACAAGUCUUAACCUUGGCCGAUAGGUCUGGGUAAUCUUUGAACGCUGUUCGUGAUUGGGAUAGACCUUUGCAAUUAUGGGUCUUCAACGAGGAAUUCCUAGUAAACGCAAGUCAUCAGCUUGCAUUGAUUACGUCCCUGCCCUUUGUACACACCGCCCGUCGCACCUACCGAUUGAGUGAUCCGGUGAAUAAUUCGGACUGCGGCAUUGACCGGUUCCCGAUCGUUGCUGCGGAAAGUUUAGUGAACCUUAUCACUUAGAGGAAGGAGAANUCGUAACA